UCACACAUAGCUGGAAUCAGAGAGGCCACUGUACCUCCUCUUGGUUAAAUACCACUUGCUCUCAAGUGCUGGUGGCUGCCUGAUAAUCUUGUCUGAGUUGCAUCAGAGUACUUUACAGCUUGCAUAGAGGUGGUGUAAGUACCUUAAAUUCAAGUAAGUUCAUAAUGCAUUGGACAGUUGAAAGUUGCUAAUUCUUACUUUGCCCAUCAUAAGCCCAGUCUCUCAUCUGCAGCUGUGAUUUAUUAAUAGGAUGCUGUUUUGCAGUCUUAGAUUACUACUAAGUCUUUCAGUACAAAAUUAAGUCUUUACGUAGCUCAGCUGAAAUUAAUGGAUUGAUUGAUACUGAUGAUUUGAUGUUAUUCUGUUGAAGUGUUUUUGCAAGGACAGAAAAAUAUGCUAUGGUAUGUUUGUUUAUAUGCUGUGGAGCAUAAAUGAAAGAGUUGAUGGAACUGUUUUAUGAAAAAAAGGAUAAUAAUAUCCUGGCUGUCAGUACUCUUUGCAUUUUUAUUGUCUUUGAUUCUUUAUAGCCUUUACUGGCUUCAGUGGACUUUGGAUCAGACAGUUACCAAUUCAUCUUCUAAUCUUUAUGCAAGUGACAAUGGCAAGUUCACUAUGUCUGUGAAUUCCCUGAUCUUCUGGGAAAAUUUUAAGUUUACAUUGUAAUCCAAAGACCUAACGUCACUGGAAACCUGUUUGAGAAGACAUAGAUCCCCAUGGAGCAACAGCCAGGAUCUGGAUCCCAAAAUAUCUCUCAAAAGGCUUCAUGAUGGCUGAAUAUCUGAUGUCACCUCUUUCAGCUUGAACAGCCUUGCACAAAGCAUUGUAGGAUUCUUCACAACCACGGGGAAAAAGUGGUCUGAUCUUAAACUGGUAUGUUUACAUGUUUUUUCAAAGCAAUGAAGAUUCAAAUAGUUUCCUUAUACCCAUAUGUUGCUUUGACAGCCUCGAUUAUAGACCUUUCUGGAGAGCAGGAAGAAGUCCUUUUUUGUAUUUGAAAACUUACAAGCAGUUAUUGGGAAAAAAAAUGGGUUUAAAAAAAAAGUAUGGUCCCAUAUCUCAACAUAGACAAAGUGAUAAAGGCAAAUGAGGAAGGAAAGAAAAUUUUAUACACUGGAUUAGACAUUAGAGAUGACUUAUUUAAGACAAAACUUCAUGCUGCUGGUACUCUUACAUCGAAGAAUGAGAAAGUUAUCAAACUUGAAAACUGCUGACUGUGUCCAGCCUCCUCCUUUUCUGGGAAAACAUCUUGCCCAUACUAUGCCUCUAGCACUGUUAGGUUUAUUUCUGCCUCUCCAUUUGAGGUGUUCUCAGCUGGUGAAAUCUACAUUGCAGCUGAACACAAGUCCUUAGGAGGCCAGAUCAGAAGUUAACCCUUCAGCAGAUCUGUGCCAGGAGAUCAUCUUUGACCUGCCCUUUUGUCAGGGAGAGCUGAGAUCACCUGAAAUGACAGAUGCUGUGGCAUGGGUACGACUGGCAGAUGUGGAUGGAAACACCUCUGCCACAGGAGAUCCACAAACAGGGCUUUUUGUGUCCCACCUGACAGUGUAGCUCCCUGUCCCCCUCUGUCAGCUAGGUCACACUUGGUGACUUACGAACCAUCUACUGCUUCUUUCCUAUGGAUUUAAUCUCUUCAGCUCACUGAGGUUUUAAAUCCAGAAGUUAUAGGCUCACUUGUUACCAAGAAAUCCAGAACAGCACUAAAAAUACCUAAACAGGGCAUUUUUCUUAAUAAAAUGCAUCUUUAAACCCCAAUUUUCUCCAAGCCUUUUGAUAAAAAAGCAGUUGCAUUUUUUUUCACAGGGGAGUCUCAAUUUCUCUACUCAGUGCUAUCAUAACUCUGUUUCAGGGAAGAUGACAGUGACAUGCUUGUGAGGCGAGGUAGGAGUGAUGCAGCAGCCUGACCAGUGGCUCCCAGUGGAGCGUGGCUACUGACCUGGUGGGGCGGCUGCUUCUGCAGGUACACAACACCUGCUCAGAUGGCAAGAGUUGAACCUGGCCAUCUCACAGCAUCCUAAAGAGAGAGGGCAACCGGUGUGAGCUGCACAGACCCUCAGUGUGGCUUUCCCAAGAAGUGAAAAUAAAACUGCAUUUCUUAGUUAUGGGAAAAGUAUUUACAAAUCUGUGCCUGAGUCCGGGGGGGGGGGGGGGGCGGGCGGGUAAAAAAUGACACAAACAGGGCCUGGUGUAUGCCAAAUAUAUGAGCUGUUCUAAAAGCGCAAUGUGUCAUAGGCUCAUUAUUCAUCAAUGCUUCAUCACACUGAGUUUAUGGUGGCAUUAAAACUGGAGAAAAAAAGAUGUCAUUUACAUGAAACGCUGGAGACACUCCCUCCACCCUUUGAUUCCUUCAGUAAGCUGGAAGGAGGUUUGUGUGUGCAUGAGAAAGUGUGCUAUACAAUGCCAGCCUUUAUUCUCUCCUUGAAUUACUCAUACUGUGCAGCAUGUAGCAAAAAAAAAAAAAGAGAAAAAAAGUAAAAAAAAAGUUUUGGGCUUAUUUUGCUCUUAAGAAAUAACAGUGAAACACUGAACCAAAGCUACAACGCAUUGUUAGCUUCUGGAAUUUAUUUUUCUAGUGUUUUUUGGAUGCUGGUAUCACUUUCUGUGCUUCACAUUGAAGUUGUUACUUUUCUACAUACGCAGGACAAGCCAAAUUCCUUCCCCAGGCCCCUAAGUCCUGACCUUGACAAAGGAAUGACUGUUGUCCCACUGCAUGAGGGUCUGCAGGCUGUUUAGCAACUGUGGUGGAAAGCACCGGCUGGCCAAAGGGAGCUGGCGCUGGGGAAGGGGCUGGAAGUCUGGGAGGGACUAGGGCAAGGUGGAGAGCUUUGCAUAAAAACCCCUAAAUCUCAUUGUGAUGCAAUUACCUAGCAGAGGACUUGCGAGUUCAAUAGCGGACCUCCUUCCCCAGGCAUGCUUUUUUAACUAAGUUUUCGUCCCUGACAAAAAAAAAAAGGGUGUAUUUUAAAAUCCCAGCCAUGACACAAAGCAAGGAGCAAUAGGGGAGGUUGAGUUCAGUGGCCUUCGUAGAGGGCUGUCGCACGGCUGCCUCACAGUCAGGGGACCACGCUCAAACAGGGGCACCAGACCCACUGGGAGGACAGGGAAGACAAAACUGGGGGUGUGUGCCUGUGUGUUGGCAUCUCAUGCCAAUGUCCACCCUAAGGAAUUUGGAUGGGUGUGUUUUGACUGAGUCGUCAGGCCAUUAGCUAAGGUUUUAAGAUCAUUUGAUCACUCAUUUUAGAGGCUGUUCAGUUUUCCGAAGUUCCUUUCCUAAUACAGGCAAAACACCAACUUCUAUUUUUUUUGUUUGUUUGUUUUUAAUUUUUGUGAAGAGGGGA